GGCCCCGCACAAGCGGUGGAGCAUGUGGUUUAAUUCGAUGAUACGCGAGGAACCUUACCAGGGCUUAAAUGGGAAAUGACAGGGGCAGAGACGCCCCCUUCUUCGGACAUUUUUCAAGGUGCUGCAUGGUUGUCGUCAGCUCGUGCCGUGAGGUGUCAGGUUAAGUCCUAUAACGAGCGCAACCCCUACCGUUAGUUGCCAGCGUGUAAUGACGGGGACUCUAACGGAACUGCCGGUGCAAACCGUGAGGAAGGUGGGGACGACGUCAAAUCAUCACGGCCCUUACGUCCUGGCCACACACGUGCUACAAUGGUAGGUACAGAGGGAAGCCACCCCAGCCGAGGGGAGGCG
rnacentral:rRNA from 1 species